rnacentral:rRNA from 1 species
CGUCUCAGUUCGGAUUGUAGUCCGCAACUCGACUACAUGAAGCUGGAAUUGCUAGUAAUCACAGGUCAGCAUACUGUGGUGAAUACGUUCCCGGGCCUUGUACACACCGCCCGUCACACCAUGAGAGUUGAGAAUACCCGAAGUCCAUGUCAAAGUGGCCGAAGGUAGGCUUGAUGAUUGGGGUGAAGUCGUAACAAGGUAGC